UAAAUACUCCCUCCAUCCAGAAAUACUUGUCAUCAAAAUAGAUAAAAGGGGAUGUAUCUAGAUGUAUUUUAGUUCUAGAUACAUCUUUUUUAUCCAGUUUGAUGACAAGUAUUUUCGGACGGAGGGAGUAGGAG
rnacentral:pre_miRNA from 1 species